rnacentral:rRNA from 1 species
GACGAACGCUGGCGGCAUGCCUAAUACAUGCAAGUCGAGCGAACAGAUGAAGUGCUUGCACUUCUGACGUUAGCGGCGAACGGGUGAGUAACACGUAAGGAAUCUACCUAUAAGCGGGGGAUAACAUUCGGAAACGGGUGCUAAUACCGCAUAAUAUCUUCUUCCGCAUGGAAGACGAUUGAAAGACGGCCCUGCUGUCACUUAUAGAUGACAUUGCGUUGCAUUAGUUAGUUGGUGGGGUAAAGGCCUACCAAGACGAUGAUGCAUAUCCGCACUGAAGGGGGGAUCGGCCACGUUGGGACUGAGACAGCGACCAAACGCCAACGGGAGGCAGCAGUAGGGAAGCUUCCGAAAUGGGCGAAAGCCUGACGGGGCAAUGCCGCGUGUGUGAAGAAGGCCGGAGGGUUGUAAAGCACUUUUAGUGGGGAGGAGGGUAUCUAGGUUAAGAGCUAGGAUAUUGGACGUUACUCACAGAAAAAGCACCGGCUAACUCCGUGCCAGCAGCCGCGGUAA